rnacentral:rRNA from 1 species
UACGUAGGGGGCAAGCGUUGUCCGGAUUUAUUGGGCGUAAAGAGCUCGUAGGUGGUUCGGUAAGUCGGAUGUGAAAUCUCCAGGCUCAACCUGGAGGGGUCAUUCGAUACUGCCGUGACUAGAGGUCGGUAGGGGAGUGUGGAAUUCCUGGUGGAGCGGUGAAAUGCGCAGAUAUCGGGAGGAACACCGGUGGCGAAGGCGGUUCUCUGGGCCUGACCUGACGCUGAGGAGCGAAAGCGUGGGGAGCGAACAGG